AUUGAACGCUGGCGGAAUGCUUUACACAUGCAAGUCGAACGAUGAAGCCUAGCUUACUAGGCCGAUUAGUGGCGAACGGGUGAGUAAUAUAUCGGAACGUAUCCAAUAAUGGGGGAUAACUAGUCGAAAGAUUGGCUAAUACCGCAUACGUCCUACGGGAGAAAGCUGGGGAUCGUAAGACCUGGCGUUAAUGGAGCGGCCGAUAUCUGAUUAGCUAGUUGGUGGGGUAAAGGCUCACCAAGGCGACGAUCAGUAGCUGGUCUGAGAGGACGACCAGCCACACUGGAACUGAGACACGGUCCAGACUCCUACGGGAGGCAGCAGUGGGGAAUUUUGGACAAUGGGCGAAAGCCUGAUCCAGCCAUUCCGCGUGAGUGAAGAAGGCCUUCGGGUUGUAAAGCUCUUUCGCAAGAGAAGAAAACUUACCUAAUAACACUAGGUGAGGUUGACUGUACCUUGAUAAGAAGCACCGGCUAACUACGUGCCAGCCGCCGCCGUAAAAC
rnacentral:rRNA from 1 species